rnacentral:rRNA from 1 species
AACGCUGAAGCUUGGUGCUUGCACUGGGUGGAUGAGUGGCGAACGGGUGAGUAAUACGUGAGUAACCUGCCCUUGACUCUGGGAUAAGCCUGGGAAACUGGGUCUAAUACUGGAUAUGACCUCCUGUCGCAUGGUGGGGGGUGGAAAGGGUUUGUACUGGUUGUGGAUGGGCUCACGGCCUAUCAGCUUGUUGGUGGGGUAAUGGCCUACCAAGGCGACGACGGGUAGCCGGCCUGAGAGGGUGACCGGCCACACUGGGACUGAGACACGGCCCAGACUCCUACGGGAGGCAGCAGUGGGGAAUAUUGCACAAUGGGCGCAAGCCUGAUGCAGCGACGCCGCGUGAGGGAUGACGGCCUUCGGGUUGUAAACCUCUUUCAGCACGGAAGAAGCGAAAGUGACGGUACGUGCAGAAGAAGCGCCGGCUAACUACGUGCCAGCAGCCGCGGUAAUACGUAGGGCGCAAGCGUUGUCCGGAAUUAUUGGGCGUAAAGAGCUCGUAGGCGGUUUGUCGCGUCUGCUGUGAAAGCCCGGGGCUUAACCCCGGGUGUGCAGUGGGUACGGGCAGACUUGAGUGCAGUAGGGGAGACUGGAACUCCUGGUGUAGCGGUGAAAUGCGCAGAUAUCAGGAAGAACACCGAUGGCGAAGGCAGGUCUCUGGGCUGUUACUGACGCUGAGGAGCGAAAGCAUGGGGAGCGAACAGGAUUAGAUACCCUGGUAGUCCAUGCCGUAAACGUUGGGCACUAGGUGUGGGGGACAUUCCACGUUUUCCGCGCC